AGAUGAAAGACCGCCCUCCUCACAAGCGGUGGUAUUAUUAAAGCAGGGUGUGCCGUUGAAACAGUCUGAUUUGAGAACAGGGGCUAGAUAAGCAAGUAGAUACUCUGUGUGCCCAGCAUCAUUUUAACAGCUUGUUUUGCUCUUUGAUUCUGUUCACAAUGGCACAGGUCAACAGAUGUCUGAAACAGCUGUUCUUUGGAUUCAACAUGUUGUCAGGGGGUAAGUGUUGUGGAAUAAUGAGUUACAGAGACUGGGAUAGCAAGAUUCCAGAGACCUGUAAAUGUUCUAGUUUCAAGUCAGACCCGUCCCAAUGUAUGGAGGUGCAAACGACUAAAGAUGGCGGCAACUGGGGAAGAUCUGACAAAUCUGAAAUGAUGUGGAUCUACAGAGAGCCCUGUGGUCCUCUCAUCUUGAAGAACUUCGACUCUGCUUUUAAGACCGGACUUGGAUUCUUCUUGGGAUUUGGUGUUUAUUCUUUGAUUGGGCUAGUGUUAUCCGGCAUGAUGAUUCGUCAGAUCAAGAAGGUGCAGUCUACUGAAGUUCCUGAGACUAUAGACGAUGGAUAUCGUUUCACACCUUAAUUCCAGGCAAUUCGCCAUGUGGAGGGAGUUGUGGGAGUUGUGGGAGUUUAACCGACGACCUUACACCCAUAACCAGGGAUGAGGUCAGAGUUUCAGUUUUGGCAUCCUGGCAAGAGGCGAGGAGUAGAAGGUGCUCGAACAACGUGAGACGAGGUGCAACCAAAAAAAAGAAUAUGAGCGUUCGGAAUGAAAAGGCCCAACUCACUGCUCACCGUUCAUUUCAUUUGUGUAUAACCUUUUCUUUUUUAUCAUAAUAAAGUUUCGUCUGUCCAUGGCUUUUCUGGUCAUUCUGAUGGUCCAUUAAAACGGACAAAACGUCAUGAUUUUAACUGAAAAUAGAUUAG
rnacentral:lncRNA from 1 species